rnacentral:rRNA from 1 species
UACAGAGGUCUCAAGCGUUGUUCGGAUUCAUUGGGCGUAAAGGGUGCGUAGGCGGCGCGGUAAGUCGGGUGUGAAAUCUUGGAGCUUAACUCCGAAACUGCAUUCGAUACUGCCGUGCUUGAGGACUGGAGAGGAGACUGGAAUUUACGGUGUAGCGGUGAAAUGCGUAGAUAUCGGGAGGAACACCUAUGGCGAAGGCAGCUCGCUGGGACGUUACUGACGCUGAGACGCGAAAGCGUGGGGAGCAAACAGG